UAGGGAAUUUUCCACAAUGGGCGAAAGCCUGAUGGAGCAAUACCGCGUGCAGGAUGAAGGCCCUUGGGUCGUAAACUGCUUUUAUGUGAGAAGAAUAUGACGGUAACACAUGAAUAAGGGUCGGCUAACUACGUGCCAGCAGCCGCGGUCAUACGUAGGACCCAAGCGUUAUCCGGAAUUACUGGGCGUAAAGAGUUGCGUAGGUGGCACUGUAAGUGGAGCGUGAAAGCGUGCGGCUCAACCGCAUUACUGCGUUCUAAACUGCAGAGCUUGAGUAUGAGAGGGGUAGAUGGAAUUUCUAGUGUAGGAGUGAAAUCCGUAGAUAUUAGAAGGAACACCGAUAGCGUAGGCAGUCUACUGGCUCAUUACUGACACUAAGGCACGAAAGCGUGGGGAGCAAACA
rnacentral:rRNA from 1 species